UUUAAGUGUAACCAUAAAUUUGCGUGUCCAAUUUUGAUAGUCGGUUUUAUUUAAAUUUUUUUAUAAUUAGUAUUUUUGUUGUUAUGAGAUGAUAAAACAUGAGUAUUACUUUACUCGUGACUUAUGUUUUUAAAUUUUUUCAAAUAAUUUUCAAAUAAAAUGAACGGUCAAAGUUGGGUGCGAAAAACUAUGUAUACACUUACA
rfam:Oryza sativa (indica cultivar-group) chromosome 5, whole genome shotgun sequence.